rnacentral:rRNA from 1 species
UACGUAGGGGGCAAGCGUUGUCCGGAAUCAUUGGGCGUAAAGAGCGUGUAGGCGGCUUGGUAAGUCCGCUGUGAAAGUCCAGGGCUCAACCCUGGAAUGCCGGUGGAAACUGUCAAGCUUGAGUCCGGAAGAGGCGAGUGGAAUUCCUGGUGUAGCGGUGAAAUGCGCAGAUAUCAGGAGGAACACCAAUGGUGAAGGCAGCUCGCUGGGACGGUACUGACGCUGAGACGCGAAAGCGUGGGGAGCAAACAGG